rnacentral:rRNA from 1 species
GCAGCGCCGCGGUAACACCGAGGGUGCGAGCGUUAAUCGGAUUUACUGGGCGUAAAGCGUGCGUAGGCGGCUUCUUAAGUCGGAUGUGAAAUCCCUGAGCUUAACUUAGGAAUUGCAUUCGAUACUGGGAAGCUAGAGUAUGGGAGAGGAUGGUAGAAUUCCAGGUGUAGCGGUGAAAUGCGUAGAGAUCUGGAGGAAUACCGAUGGCGAAGGCAGCCAUCUGGCCUAAUACUGACGCUGAGGUACGAAAGCAUGGGGAGCAAACAGGAUUAGAUACCCCUGUAGUCCCUGUCUCUUAUACA